rnacentral:rRNA from 1 species
ACGGGGGUAGGGUGUGUUGAUUGAUCUGGGCGUAAAGCGCACGUAGGCGGAUCAGAAAGUUGGGGGUGAAAUCCCGGGGCUCAACCCCGGAACUGCCUCCAAAACUCCUGGUCUUGAGUUCGAGAGAGGUGAGUGGAAUUCCGAGUGUAGAGGUGAAAUUCGUAGAUAUUCGGAGGAACACCAGUGGCGAAGGCGGCUCACUGGCUCGAUACUGACGCUGAGGUGCGAAAGUGUGGGGAGCAAACAGGAUUAGAUACCCCUGUAGUCC